rnacentral:misc_RNA from 1 species
ACAAACUUGGUCAUUUAGAGGAAGUAAAAGUCGUAACAAGGUUUCCGUAGGUGAACCUGCGGAAGGAUCAUUAGUGAAUAAACUCGGUCAAGCUGUUGCUGGUUCUUAGGGACAUGUGCACGUUUGACUCUUGUUUUCAACCACCUGUGCACCUUUUGUAGACUUGGAGUUUUGGGGAAUCGAAAUUUGCUUCCCCAGUAUUUCUCCAGUCUAUGUCUCUUUUAUAUACCCUUAAAAUGUAAAGAAUGUGUGUUAGGCUCUUUUAUAAAGGCCUAUAAAACUAUAUACAACUUUCAACAACGGAUCUCUUGGCUCUCGCAUCGAUGAAGAACGCAGC